rnacentral:rRNA from 1 species
GACGAACCGUCCAAACGUUGUUCGGAAUCACUGGGCUUAAAGGGCGCGUAGGCGGGUCUCCAAGUCGGUGGUGAAAUCUUUCGGCCUCAACCGGAAAACAGCCGCCGAUACUGGGGGUCUCGAGGGAGGUAGGGGUCGAUGGAACUUCCGGUGGAGCGGUGAAAUGCGUAGAUAUCGGAAGGAACGCCGGUGGCGAAAGCGAUCGACUGGACCUUUUCUGACGCUGAGGCGGCGAAAGCCAGGGGAGCAAAGCGGG